UCAGAAGCACUUAGUUAGAAUUCAGUACCACUUGUCAUUGACAUAUCAGAAGCACUUAGUUAAAAUUCAGUACCACUUGUCAUUGAAAUUCAGAAGCACUAAAAAUUCAUAUUCUGGCCAAGUGCUACUAUUGAUCUCGUUGCUAAACAAUACAAGAAGAUAAGCACGGAUGUGAAAAAAGGAAAGCAUUGGAACCUCUCUAACUUGGAAUGCAUGCUGCCAUCAGUACAUAUACAUGAUUGGGCUUUAUGUGGAAACAUGAGCAGAGAAGAUACUUCAGUUAUUUGAAAUCGAUGCGAGUCAAGGAUAUUUUUUAAAGUCGGAUAUGCCAAAUAAAUGAAAGGAUGCUGCAGAUAUGCACUUUUAUUAAGACUAAGACAAGCUGUCCGGCAGUAAAUUUAGAGCGUCGACCCUGCCCUGCCCGCCGGCAUGGUUCGCCAUCGCAGGCAUCACUUUCCCGUCCAGCUCGCACUCACCGGCUGCCUCUCCCGCGACCCGCUACACAACUACGGGGCUCCUGCUUCCAUGAAAACGCAAUAUAAUUUAUAUUCACCAAGAAGCAACAGAAGUAAGAUCACUACAUUAAAUCCUAGUAUGAUGAACCAUUUAUGCCGAGAUACAUACGGAGCAACACAUAGGUUAAAGUUAAAUCUAGCAAUAUAGUACACUUGGUAUCGGGUAAACCAUAGAUUAAACAAUGUGGUAGAUAGUUGUUUACCUGAAUGCUGACAGAAGUAUACCAAGUAACAAAGCUAGUUACUGGCAAAGCUCAAUGCCUCCAAACCAAAGUUUAACAACUAAUAUGAAAUGUCUCCGAAUCAAGCUAGUUGUGGCCAAACUUUGGAACCUGAAAAAAUGGAGUGGAAAACAAAAUUAGGAAAUGCAAGAGAAAGAAAGUAACAUAGGAUAAAAUUACCUCAUUGCUCCAAACAUAUACAGUACUACUAAGAAAUCUCCUUAUUAGUUAAUUUUAUAGAAUUAGCCCAUUGAUGAGAUAAAGAUACUAAAUAUAGUUAUUUCUUACAACAAUCUAUGGAAGAUUAGUAUUACACCAAAUGUUGCCAAGAAACAUAUACACCGGGAGAAAUGGUUUUGUUUUAGAGAACUAACCGAACAAAGAGACUUCAACUAAUAAAGUAGCACAUAAUCCGUGAUGUAAUCCGCAGCCACACACUUAUGCCACCUUAGCUCUACCCUAUUAGUGAAAUAAAAGAUGACAUAUUUUUAAACUUAAUUAUUAUCACAUCAACAAACAAAAAAAACAAAAGUAAUUUACUACUCCCUCCAUCCCAAAAUAAGAGUCGCUGAAACUCAUCAUGCAACGGAGGGAGUACUAUAGUUUAGCACGUUUCUCUUUCACAAGUAUAGAAGUUGAAUAAUGCACAGCAAUCUGAAAUCCUUCACUUACAAAGAAAGAGGGAAGACAUAAUACAUGCUUGUUAGCUCACCCAUACACAGAUGAGUCAGUGAUGAAGUGGAUUGCCAAAAAGAACAUACGGGGAAUAAUCAUAUCCAUGUGUGGCAUACUCAGCUCCACCCUUUCUCAUCACUAUCUUUGGUCACUAUAUUUGCUAGCACCACACCAAAAGUAUGAAAUUCCUCACGUUGAAUACCUAUAAACAAAAGGAGAAAUAGGAGGUUAUGUCAGCGACCAAUCGAAAUCAUCGAAACUUCAGCACAUCAGUUCAAUGUGUUGUAGAUAUUUGAUUAAUGGAUGCAAUCAACUUAUGCAUAUUUCUUCAUCUUCUGAUUCAGGGGUGCAGGUCCUGGAUAGAUUCUGUGGUGCGCCUCUAUGGUCAAUGCAAGCUGCGGGGAAAGAAAAGUUGAGAUGUGAUAUCUUCAGACCAAGAACUACAGUUACAGGUUCAGAUUUGCUUCAAAUCAUUUAGGCGCAACCAAGAAUACCGAGAUUAAAUGUUCGCUUGUAGCCCUUGAUGAAUCUCAGGAUCUUCUCGUUGAAAUCGAAGCCGGGGUUCCAGAUCAGGGAUCCAUACCCGAAGACCCGCACCACCAUCUUGUUGUUUGUUUCCCCUGCAGACAACAACAAACUGAGCACAAGAAGCCAUUCCCCUUCCUCGAACAACAAUGUCAACAUCGCCCCCAAACCAAAAGCCCCAAAACAGUUCAACAAAAUCCCCUCAAAAAGGUACGGGUAGGGGUAGGUGGAUUCGGUUACCUAGCACACUAGAAAGAAUGCCGCUGGUGGGUCGGCGGCGCGCUGGGAGGAGCAUGAUGGGGAUUUGGCUCCCCUUAUCUCACCCGCGUCUCCUCUCCUCCGCCUGCAGUCUUCUCUCGUUGGAUGGAUAGAUAGGGGUUUCUGGUCGGAGAGGGGGGAGAAGAAGACAGUGGCCUUCUCUCAUCUCCUCCGCCAUGGUCUCCUCUCCCCAGUUCACGCCCACGCCCAUCGGCUCCCUUGUGGCGCUUGUCCUUGCUGCCCGCGCCGCAGCCGCGGCCACGCCCUGCCAAGAUGAUACAAUAAUAAGAAACCAGGGGGUGAAUCAUUAUCCUUUAGCAUGGACACCAUGAUGUUUCAGCGUCUUGUGAUUGCAUUGAACAGGAAAGAACCUUCUUAGCAAAGGUGCAUCACUAUUACCUUCGGCGGAGCGAAUAUUGCCACAGAACAACACUCAUGGUGCAAGAUAGAAAUAUUAUUAAACGGUAAGCUAGUUCAAGUGAUCAUGAAUAGCAAGGGAAACGGCGUGUUUUAGCACUGAUAUUAUAUAGUUGAAAUCUCAGUGCACAUCACAUAUAUAUUUUCUAGCAAUACCAAGCUUGAUCUCAAAUAGAACAUAUCCACAUUACCCUCAGGAUAACUGAACAACAAUACCUGACUAUGGGUCACCCAGUUGAAUCCAUCCAUCUUGGCACCAAAAUUGAAAGUUCCAAGUAGCUCCAGCUUGCCAAAUAAAAACUGAAUGAUUAUGAUUUAUGCACCUAGGUGAUAUCCCUCUGCAGAUCAUGAUCGUUAUACUGUACCUGUUGCCAACUUUGCUAGCCACAUCAUAGAAAUUAACACCUAAAGGGUUGAAGCACAAAAUAUUCAGUACUUACUAUGAGUAAAGGAAAAUCAUAAGAAAUUAUAUCUAUGGACUUGCAAAGACAAUCAAGAGCAACGACUGAUGUGAAAGCUUACACUGGGUGUAUAUACGACUCAUCUUUUUCCACCAAAUUGUCAGUGAUAGCACAAACAUUUCUAAUUUGGAACUAACUGGACAGAAAAAUAGGAUGCAAAUUUAUGUCCUCUUGCAUGAAACAUAUUGUUACAGCUGCAAAAAUCAUGUCAUAGAAUAGAAGCUACCAUUAAUCAUGUUAGUGCAAGAGGCCACAAACAUGCUACCUAGAUACACCCUUUGGAUCACCCUGGUAGCAGCCAAGCCCUCUGCCGUUCCGCCAGAAGGAGACGGGAUUCUUAGAUCUUUUAUGCUUCUGAAAAAAAACAUAAAAGGUCGACAGAUCAAACCAUCAUAUAUAUGACCAUUUCAGUUUCAAUAAUUUAUUGAUUCUCUUAAAAUUAAAUGAUGUCUCGUCAUCUUGUGUUUGCUUAAAUAUAUAAUUAAUAGCCAGGGAUUAGAGGCCGGGUGUAUAAAAAAAUUAAAGCUUGGCUCUUGCACAGUCAUUACCAGUUGCAUGGACAACAGUGGACAGAAAGCUAGAUAAGCAGGAUGCCGCUUUGCAAGCUUACUCGUGCAUCAAUGAACCGUUGAAGAAGUGAAAUCUAUCCACAUACCCAGGUCGCAAGCUUACUUGUGCAUCAAUGAACCAUUGAAGAAGUGAAAUCUAUCCACAUACCUAGGUCGCAAGCUUACUCCUGCAUCAAUGAACCGUUGAAGAAGUGAAAUCUAUCCACAUACCCAGGUCGCAAGCUUACUCGUGCAUCAAUGAACCGUUGAAGAAGUGAAAUCUCUCCACAUACCUAGGUCGCAAGCUUACUCCUGCAUCAAUGAACUGUUGAAGAAGUGAAAACUAUCCACAUACCCAGGUCGCUUUGCAAGCUUACUCGUGCAUCAAUAAACCGUUGAAGUAAUGAAAUAUAUACACAUACCAAGGUAUAUGACAGGAGCCUAGAGAGGCCAUCUAGUACUGUCACCAAGGGGAGAUCACUUCUUGUCGAGAUCGAUUGAGCCUCUUCUCGAGCUCCCGGGUCCCGAUGUGUCCUGUCUUCCUCAAUCUCACUGCACCAUUCCUCUCCCCUUGCGGCAUCCUCUCUGCUGCAUAAAUCAUAUAUUGCAUUUGCAGCAAUAUAAAUGCCAUUCUCAGUACUCCACAGCGUAUAGUAGUAAAAUAUCUAGCUGAUUCUCUAUGGUUCAUUUACUUGAGAACUGCUGACAGAAUUGAAUACUGGAGAGUAGCUAAAAUCGAAAGAAGAGAAGGAACAAGGAUGUACACGCCUGCUGGAAAGUACCUAAAACUGAAAGAAGAAAAGGAGCAAGGAUGUACGCACAUGUUAGGCUCCCUCUUCCCCAAGCUCGAACCUGCACCUUCUUCUCUCUACCUCUCCUCCUCCCUGAAUCUUCCUCUUUCUCUCUUUUCUACCAGGGAAAACUAAAGCCCCGCCAUGGCUUGGAGCUCUCCCUGCCAGCCAUGGAGACCCACCUCUACCUGCAAGGAAUUCACGCCGCCGCACCAGAUCACUCCGUCUCACGCGCCCGUCCGCCGUCGCUCAGGUCUGGGGAGCUCCUGCCUAGGUCGCUGGAUCCCUCGAUCCGGCCUUCAUCGUCGUCACCGACGACCCCCGCCUGGAUACCUCGCUCGGUGAGCCCCGCCUCGCCGCCCGCCUUCAGAUCAACCAGAUCCGUGGAGAAGGCCGGGGUGAGCUCCUCCAUGGAACCGACAACAUCGGUUGUGGCCACGGCCAGAUCCGUGGAGAACGACGACGGGAGGUCGGGGAGGAAGAAGAACGGUGACGGUGGAGGUCUCCCUUUGUCGAUCUAGGAGGAGAUCGAUGGAGGUUGAGGGUUGGCUGCAGCGAUGGAGAGGAGGGCGUCGAUGGUGGCCAUGGCCGAAUCACGGAGGACGGGCGGUGAUGGUGACGUCUUGUAGAGGAGGGCGGAGAGGGCAACAGCGUCGUCGUGAGGUGGAGAGCCAGAUCGGGGAUUGGGGUGCGGCGGCGGGUGCGGCUGGAGGCGGGGAGAGGAGGGGUAGCUAGGAGGCUGGAGGCGGGGAGGGACGGAGCCACGUUCGUGCGGGCAAGCGCAUCGAGCGCAUCGAGGGCACGAGGGAUCGAUCCCAGGGACGAAAAAACGGAGGUGGGAGGAUGACGAAAAUAAACCAGCGAAAAUAAACUGUCUCGGCUGAGCGGGAGGUGGGAGCAAGUACCAAAAAAGACCGGAUGAGGUGGGACGAAAAUAAAACCCGAAACGCGACCUACCAAAUCAUCAAUAUUUAGGCCCCAUUCGGCAAUGCGCCGGCUUGUUGAAAUCCGUGGAUCUGCGGCGCAUCGUUUCGCUCGCUCCAAGACUUCUCACUGCAGCUCCGUCCGCUCCCGGAGCGGAGCAGUGGAGCGGAUGGACACCGAACGGGGCCUUACACUCAGAAAACCCAUUCAUCACAAGAAAUUUCAGAAGCACUUAGUUAGAAUUCAGUACCACUUGUCAUUGACAUAUCAGAAGCACUUAGUUAAAAUUCAGUACCACUUGUCAUUGAAAUUCAGAAGCACUAAAAAUUCAUAUUCUGGCCAAGUGCUACUAUUGAUCUCGUUGCUAAACAAUACAAGAAGAUAAGCACGGAUGUAAGAAAAGGAAAGCAUUGGAACCUCUCUAACUUGGAAUGCAUGCUGCCAUCAGUACAUAUACAUGAUUGGGCUUUAUGUGGAAACAUGAGCAGAGAAGAUACUUCAGUUAUUUGAAAUCGAUGCGAGUCAAGGAUAUUUUUUAAAGUAGGAUAUGCCAAAUAAAUGAAAGGAUGCUGCAGAUAUGCACUUUUAUUAAGACUAAGACAAGCUGUCAGGCAGUACAUUUAGAGCGUCGACCCUGCCCUGCCCGCCGGCAUGGUUCGCCAUCGCAGGCAUCACUUUCCCGUCCAGCUCGCACUCACCGGCUGCCUCUCCCGCGACCCGCUAUACAACUACGGGGCUUCUGCUUCCAUGAAAACACAAUAUAAUUUAUAUUCACCAAGAAGCAACAGAAGUAAGAUCACUACAUUAAAUCCUAGUAUGAUAAACCAUUUAUGCCGAGAUACAUACGGAGCAACACAUAGGUUAAAGUUAAAUCUAGCAAUAUAGUACACUUGGCACCGGGUAAACCAUAGAUUAAACAAUGUGGUAGAUAGUUGUUUACUUGAAUGCUGACAGAAGUAUACCAAGUAACAAAGCUAGUUACUCGCAAAGCUCAAUGCCUCCAAACCAAAGUUUAACUCCUAAUAUGAAAUGUCUCCGAAUCAAGCUAGUUGUGGCCAAACUUUAGAACCUGAAAAAAUGGAGUGGAAAACAAAAUUAGGAAAUGCAAGAGAAAGAAAGUAACAUAGGAUAAAAUUACCUCAUUGCUCCAAACAUAUACAGUACUGCUACGAAAUCUCCUUAUUAGUCCUUUUUAUAGAAUUAGCCCAUUGAUGAGAUAAAGAUACUUAUUAUAGUUAUUUCUUACAGCAAUCUCUGGAAGAUUAGUAUUACACCAAAUGUUGCCAAGAAACAUAUACACCAGGAGAAAUGGUUCUGUUUUAGAGAACUAACCGAACAAAGAGACUUCAACUAAUAAAGUAGCACAUAAUCUGUGAUGUAAUCCAUAGCCACACACUUAUGCCACCUUGGCUCUACCCUAUUAGUGAAAUAAAAGAUGACAUAUUUUUAAAAUUCAUUAUUAUCACAUCAACAAAUGUAAUUUACUACUCCCUCCAUCCCAAAAUAAGAGUCGCUGAAACUCAUCAUGCAACAGAGGGAGUACUAUAGUUUAGCACGUUUCCCUUUCACAAGUAUAGCAGUUGAAUAAUGCGCAGCAAUCUGAAAUCCUUCACUUACAAAGAAAGAGGGAAGACAUAAUACAGGCUUGUUAGCUCACCCAUACACAGAUGAGUCAGUGAUGAAGUGGAUUGCCAAAAAUAACAUACGGGGAAUAAUCAUAUCCAUGUGUGGCAUACUCAGCUCCACCCUUUCUCAUCACUAUCUUUGGUCACUAUAUUUGCUAGAACCACACCAAAAGUAUGAAAUUCCUCACGUUGAAUACCUAUAAACAAAAGGAGAAAUAGGAGGUUAUGUCAGCGACCAAUCGAAAUCAUCGAAACUUCAGCACAUCAGUACAAUGUGUUGUAGAUAUUUGAUUAAUGGAUGCAAUCAACUUACGCAUAUUUCUUCAUCUUCGCAUUCAGGGGUGCAGGUCCUGGAUGGAUUCUGUGGUGUGCCUCUAUGGUCAAUGCAAGCUGCGGGGAAAGAAAAGUUGAGAUGUGAUAUCUUCAGACCAAGAACUACAGUUACAGGUUCAGAUUUGCUUCAAAUCAUUUAGGCGCAACCAAGAAUACCGAGAUUAAACGUUCGCUUGUAGCCCUUGAUGAAUCUCAGGAUCUUCUCGUUGAAAUCGAAGCCGGGGUUCCAGAUCAGGGACCCAUACCUGAAGACCCGCACCACCAUCUUGUUGUUUGUUUCCCCUGCAGACAACAACAAACUGAGCGCACAAGAAGCCAUUCCCCUUCCUCGAACAAUAAUGUAAACAUCGCCCACAAACCAAAAGCCCCAAAACAGUUCAACAAAAUCCCCCAAAAAAGGUUCGGGUAGGGGUAGGUGGAUUUGGUUACCUAGAACACCAGAAAGAAUGCCGUUGGUGGGUCGGCGGCGCGCGGGGAGGAGCAUGAUGGGGAUUUGGCUCCUCUUACCUCACCUGCGUCUCCUCUCCUCCGCCUGUAGUCUUCUCUCAUCGGAUGGAUAGAUAGGGGUUUCUGGUCGGAGAGGGAGGGAGAAGAAGACAGUGGCCUUCUCUCAUCUCCUCCGCCAUGGUCUCCUCUCCCCGGUUCACGCCCACGCCCAUCGGCUCCCUUGCGGCGCUCGUCCUUGCUGCCCGCGCCGCAGCCGCGGCCACGCCCUGCUAAGAUGAUACAACAAUAAGAAGCUAGGGGGUGAAUCAUUAUCCUUUAGCAUGGACACCAUGAUGUUUCAGCGUCUUGUCAUUGCAUUGAACAAGAAAGAACCUUCUUAGCAAAGGUGCAUCACUAUUACCUUCGGCGGAGCGAAUAUUGCCACUGAACAACACUCAUGGUGCAAGAUAGAAAUAUUAUUAAACGGUAAGCUAGUUCAAGUGAUCAUGAAUAGCAAGGGAAACGGCGUGUUUUAUCACUGAUAUUAUAUAGUUGAAAUCUCAGUGCACAUCACAUAUAUAUUUUCUAGCAAUACCAAGCUUGAUCUCAAAUAGAACAUAUCCACAUUACCCUCAGGAUAACUGAACAACAAUACCUGACUAUGGGUCACCCAGUUGAAUCCAUCCAUCUUGGCACCAAAAUUGAAAGUUCCAGGUAGCUCCAGCUUGCCAAAUAAAAACUGAAUGAUUAUGAUUUAUGCACCUAGGUGAUAUCCCUCUGCAUAUCAUGAUCGUUAUACUGUACCUGUUGCCAACUUUGCUAGCCACAUCAUAGAAAUUAACACCUAAAGGGUUGAAGCACAAAAUAUUCAGUACUUACUAUGAGUAAAGGAAAAUCAUAAGAAAUUAUAUCUAUGGACUUGCAAAGACAAUCAAGAGCAACGGCUGAUGUGAAAGCUUACACUGGGUGUAUAUACGACUCAUCUUUUUCCACCAAAUUGUCAGUGAUAGCACAAACAUUUCUAAUUUGGAACUAACUGGACAGAAAAAUAGGAUGCAAAUUUAUGUCCUCUUGCAUGAAACAUAUUGUUACAGCUGCAAAAAUCAUGUCAUGGAAUAGAAGCUACCAUUAAUCAUGUUAGUGCAAGAGGCCACAAACAUGCUACCUAGAUACACCCUUUGGAUCACCCUGGUAGCAGCCAAGCCCUCUGCCGUUCCGCCAGAAAGAGAUGAGAUUCUUAUAUCUUUUAUGCUUCUGAAAAAAACAUAAAAGGCCGACAGAUCAAACCAUCAUAUAUAUGACCAUUUCAGUUUCAAUAAUUUAUUGAUUCUCUUAAAAUUAAAUGAUGUCAUGUCAUCUUGUGUUUGCUUAAAUAUAUAAUUAAUAGCCAGGGAUUAGAGGCGGAUGUAUAAAAAAAUUAAAGCUUGGCUCUUGCACAGUCAUUACCAGUUGCAUGGAUAGAAGUGGACAGAAAGCUAGAUAAGCAGGAUGCCGCUUUGCAAGCUUACUUGUGCAUCAAUGAACCGUUGAAGAAGUGAAAUCUAUCCACAUACCCAGGUCGCAAGCUUACUCGUGCAUCAAUGAACCGUUGAAGAAGUGAAAUCUCUCCACAUACCUAGGUCGCAAGCUUACUCCUGCAUCAAUGAACUGUUGAAGAAGUGAAAACUAUCCACAUACCCAGGUCGCUUUGCAAGCUUACUCGUGCAUCAAUAAACCGUUGAAGAAAUGAAAUAUAUACACAUACCAAGGUAUAUGACAGGAGCCUAGAGAGGCCAUCUAGUACUGUCACCAAGGGGAGAUCACUUCUUGUCGAGAUCGAUUGAGCUUCUUCUCGAGCUCCCGGGUCCCGAUGUGUCCUGUCUUCCUCAAUCUCACUGCACCAUUCCUCUCCCCUUGCGGCAUCCUCUCUGCUGCAUAAAUCAUAUAUUGCAUUUGCAGCAAUAUAAAUGCCAUUCUCAGUACUCCAUAGCUUAUAGUAGUAAAAUAUCUAGCUGAUUCUCUACGGUUCAUUUACUUGAGAACUGCUGACAUAAUUGAAUACUGGAGAGUAGCUAAAAUCGAAAGAAGAGAAGGAACAAGGAUGUACACACCUGCUGGAAAGUACCUAAAACUGAAAGAAGAAAAGGAGCAAGGAUGUACGCACAUGUUAGGCUCCCUCUUCCCCAAGCUCGCACCUGCACCUUUUUCUCUCUACCUCUCCUCCUUCCUGAAUCUUCCUCUUUCUCUCUUUUCUACCAGGGAAAACUAAAGCCCCGCCAUGGCCUGGAGCUCUCCCUGCCAGCCAUGGAGACCCGCCUCUACCUGCAAGGAAUUCACGCCGCCGCACCAGAUCACUCCGUCUCACGCGCCCGUCCGCCGUCGCUCAGGUCCGGGGAGCUCCUGCCUAGGUUGCUGGAUCCCUCGAUCCAGCCUUCAUUGUCGUCACCGACGACCCCCGCCUGGAUACCUCGCUCGGUGAGCCCGCCUCGCCGCCCGCCUUUAGAUCAACCAGAUCCGUGGAGAAGGCCGGGGUGAGCUCCUCCAUGGAACCGACAGCAUCGGUUGUGGCCACGGCCAGAUCCGUGGAGAACGACGACGGGAGGUCGGGGAGGAAGAAGAACGGUGACGGUGGAGGUCUCCCUUUGUCGAUCUAGGAGGAGAUCGAUGGAGGUUGAGGGUUGGCAGCAGCAAUGGAGAGGAGGGCAUCGGUGGUGGCCAUGGCCGAGUCACGGAGGAGGGGCGGCGAUGGUGACGUCUUGUGGAGGAGGACGGAGAGGCCAACGGCGUCGUCCUGAGGUGGAGAGCCAGAUCGGGGAUUGGGGUGUGGCGGCGGGUGCGGCUGGAGGCGGGGAGACGAGGGGUAGCUAGGACGCUGGAGGCGGGGAGGGACGGAGCCACGUUCGUGUGGGCAAGCGCAUCGAGCGUAUCAAGGGCAUGAGAGAUCGAUCCCAGGGACGAAAAAAACGAGGUGGGAGGAUGAUGAAAUUUCAGAAGCACUUAGUUAGAAUUCAGUACCACUUGUCAUUGACAUAUCAGAAGCACUUAGUUAAAAUUCAGUACCACUUGUCAUUGAAAUUCAGAAGCACUAAAAAUUCAUAUUCUGGCCAAGUGCUACUAUUGAUCUCAUUGCUAAACAAUACAAGAAGAUAAGCAUGGAUGUAAGAAAAGGAAAGCAUUGGAACCUCUCUAACUUGGAAUGCAUGCUGCCAUCAGUACAUAUACAUGAUUGGGCUUUAUGUGGAAACAUGAGCAGAGAAGAUACUUUAGUUAUUUGAAAUCAAUGCGAGUCAAGGAUAUUUUUUAAAGUAGGAUAUGCCAAAUAAAUGAAAGGAUGCUGCAGAUAUGCACUUUUAUUAAGACUAAGACAAGCUGUCAGGCAGUACAUUUAGAGCGUCGACCCUGCCCUGCCCGCCGGCAUGGUUCGCCAUCGCAGGCAUCACUUUCCCGUCCAGCUCGCACUCACCGGCUGCCUCUCCCGCGACCCGCUAUACAACUACGGUAGCUUCUGCUUCCAUGAAAAAGCAAUAUAAUUUAUAUUCACCAAGAAGCAACAGAAGUAAGAUCACUACAUUAAAUCCUAGUAUGAUGAACCAUUUAUGCCGAGAUACAUAUGGAGCAACACAUAGGUUAAAGUUAAAUCUAGCAAUAUAGUACACUUGGCACCGGGUAAACCAUAGAUUAAACAAUGUGGUAGAUAGUUGUUUACCUGAAUGCUGACAGAAGUAUACCAAGUAAGAAAGCUAGUUACUGGCAAAGCUCAAUGCCUCCAAACCAAAGUUUAACUCCUAAUAUGAAAUGUCUCCGAAUCAAGCUAGUUGUGGCCAAACUUUAGAACCUGAAAAAAUGGAGUGGAAAACAAAAUUAGGAAAUGCAAGAGAAAGAAAGUAACAUAGGAUAAAAUUACCUCAUUGCUCCAAACAUAUACAGUACUGCUAAGAAAUCUCCUUAUUAGU
rnacentral:lncRNA from 1 species